UUGAAAAUUUGGGUCGUCAAAUGCAUACAGCCUUACGCUUUUGUGAAGUUCUUCUAAUACACGUAUUAGUGUGCAUUUAGAAUAAAAUGCAUGGUGAGGGUACUUUAUAUUUUCUAGCAACUGAUAUACUCGCUCCUUGGAUUAUAGGUAUCAUUUCUUUUAUUUUUGUGCUAAUUGGAGCUUUUCUAUGUUAUGCUAUUGGAGCAGCAGUUAGAAUGCAUUCUAGACUAACAGAAAUUGUGAACUACGUACAUGAAGUACAAGAAGAACAAGAAUACAAUAAACUUGUAGACCUUGAAUGAGUGAUAUUUGUAGGAAAGAAAUUUAAUAACUGCUAUAGGUGAACUUUUGGAAUUUGAUUUUAAAUUUUACAAACAAAGUGCAAAUAUUUUGCUUUUAAGGUGAUGUUUAAUGAGAUGUCAAAGCCUCAUCUGAUGAAUAUUCUCCUAAAAUACUUUAUUGCAUUCCUUUUAUACUUCAAUAAAAGAGGAAACAAUCGGUUUUUAAUCUAAAUAUUUGCAAUUGAUUUCAAAAUUAUAGUGAAAAAAAAAAAAAAAAAAAAAAAAAAAUUAAAUUUGUCGCGAAAGUAACCUUUUAGUUUAGUUAUGCAUGCAAGUAUUUAAUAUACAAUAUAUAGUCUAUUCAGUUAUUCUUUUAUGUAUAUUUCAAUGGUAUGUGAAAUGAGCGUUCAGGAAAUUAUUCAUAGAAAUGUCAGCUAUCAACUAAAUGCAAAUAAGGUUCGUUCAUUAUUGCAGUUCUACACCCUUGAAUUGAAUUCUCCGUGUCAACAUAAUGACGCAAGAAUUUUGAAGGCAGGAAGCGUUUUUCUAUUUAAUUCCUCUGAUUUAAGUUAAAAUACCUUUCAUGUAUGUGAAAUGGACAUGCAGCUGUGUAAAAUACUAUUUCCUUAUAUAAUAGUAUAUAUUAACUUCAGAAAACAACUCAACUUAUAAGUGACUGAAGGAUUACAAUAUGAAUAAAGUAAUGCUUUUGCUGCUACUGGGUGUCCUGCUCUCUUCUGUUCAAGCACUUGAAAAUGAUGAACAUAGUUUGGCUUCGGUACCCAGCAUCGUUCAUGAUAUUUUGAUGUGCUAUGGACGUCGUAAUGGAGGUCGUCGUAAUGGCGGACGAACUACUACUACAGCUGAGCCUGAAGAAGAUCCGUAAAUGGGAUCCGAUGGGAUGUCUUAUCAACUUCUUAAUAUGCUUAUAUUUUCAUAAUACGUUCCUUUUUCAUACACUUUACUGCAGGAAAGCUUCAUGUGAAACCUAAAUAACAAGCAAUAAAAUGACAAGGCUGAUAUUGGAGAAUUUUCUCUGAUAAGAGAAAAGCGCUCUAUGGACCGCAAUAAUGGCAGAAGACAAAAUCGCAAUUCUAAUAACCGAAAUUCAACUAAUUCAAAUGGAAGGGAUGGAGGAGGAGGAAGAGGUGGAAAUGGAAAUCGGAAUGGGAGUGAAGAUGGAAAUGGUGGAGGUUCCAAUCAAAACAGAGGAAGUCGAAAUUCAAGUCGAAGGCGGAAUGGAAAUCGCAGGACAACAUCUGAUUCUUUUUCUACAACUCAAUCAGACAAUGAAGAAUAAAUUCAGUUCAGAAGUUCCAGUGUGACUAUAAUAAAUGCAUCUCUUUUCUAUUUUAAUCAGACUAAUCAUUUUGUCAAUUCUGUGGAGUUAUUUUGUUUUUGAAACACAGAAAGAAGCAAUAAAAUGAAAAAGAUAUGAUGGUCACAUUCAUUAACGCAAAUUCAAUUCAUUAAUUUUGAAAAAUAAAUGCAUUAAACGUAGUCAGUA